GCUGCGUGUAACGGACCAAGGCAGCAACCUCUGCCCACAGGAGUGUGCUGGCUUGGGGCCGUACGCGCUCCCGCCUUGCCGCAGGGUCACUCGCAUGACAACGUCUGUCUGUCCCUCCGUCCGUCCAGCCCCCAUUCUGCCAAUCCUGCCUUUCCCUCUGGCACCACUGAAUACUCGCUCCCAGCCGUGCCCUGCGGGUUGCAGAGCACCCACGGGUCGGCUCAGCCCGCUGCAGAGCCAGGAGACCAAGGUCCUUCCUCCUCCUCCUCAUCCCCUCGGGGCUGUGGAUCGCACGUCAGCGUUGGAGCCAUUGGAAAUGAUGGAGCGGGGUGAGGGACUUGCGCCGUUCCUUCCCUCUCAGCUGCGCUCCCUUCACAAGCAGGUGAUUCUUCUGCCCACUCAACCCACAGACUCGUCUGGGCCCAGCGCACAAGCUGUUCCUUCUCCUUCGCACAUCAUCAACAACAGCACAGGCCCUGCCUGCCAAAAUAACCCCUUAACGAUGGCUGGGUAACGGCCCUGGCUUCAGCCCCUCUGCGCUCGCGGGCAGUGGGCACGCGGUGAGCGCGGCUCGUGGGCAGGGGUGGAAGCCGGUGCUCCGUCCCAGCUCUGCUGCUCCCGCGGGAGGGCGUUUCCAUCGGGGAGCGAGGGCUGCUGAAGGCCAGCGCGGGGCAGAGGAACCGCGUUUCCUCCACCGCAGCAGCGCCCAGGGAAGCAGGCGAACCCCUGGGAAGCCUGAACGGCGGGCUCACCUCCCCCAGAGCGCUUACAGCUGCCGUUUGGGAGUAGCAAACCUUCCUGUCGUAGUCUUUAAAUCAAGUGACACUAAUUGGACAAAACUGUAAAGAUCUGCGUGACAAUCGCUGCAUUAACUGUGAUGCGCGUGAAACAUCGUUAUAUGCUGAAAAAUACAGCAAUUGCACCGAGCAACUUAGGCAGUUCCAGGCUGCAGGAGGAAGAUGUGCGUCUAUCCCUAAGGAAAGUUUUUUCUGUGUACCUCAUGGUGCAAUCUGGUGCACUCUAAAAGGAAAAAGAGACUACAGAUUCUUAUUCUACAGGAGUGCUGUGGAGCAUCAGCAAUAAGUCAUCUUUGGCAGGCAUAUGUUAACAGCAGCCAGGGAGGGGAGAGCUUCGGCAGAGCAGAGAAAUCAUUCCAGCCUGACUUUGGUACGACUCCAGCAAGUCUGAAAUAUCCAUAAGGACCCUGCUCCCAUCCCUCCUCAGAUCCAUCCUGACCCUGUCUUGGGCAAGGCCAAUGGCGAACGCCAGAUUCUGCCCCUCCAGCUGCUGCCUAAAAUAUCUUCCUGGGCAACAUCUCACAUCACGUCAGGACAGGCAGCAGGACCAGUAUCUCCAGUCUUCUCCCGCUCCUGAAGCACAGGACACUUGUGCACCUCUGUCUGAAAUGGCAGCUCGGUGCUGACGAGACGAACCCGAGAAGCACCGAGGCAGAGACGGAGCGCCGGCAGCGAUGCUCGGCAUCCUGCGGUUCGUGCUGCGAGCAGGGGCGACCUGGCCUGGCCGCUGCAGCACUGCCUCCACGCUGCCCUUUGGUCUGAGCUGCAAGCAGGGGCUGUGGUGGCAGUCCCGGCACUGCCACCUGCGCCCCAGGCCCUGUCCAGCACCCCAAGGCAUGUCCUGCGUCCCACCACACGCCCCGUGGCCCUGGGGCAGCAGGCAGCGGUGUGUGCCCCAUGGAGCGCUGCCAUCACCACGGCCCACCACACAUGAGGACGGUCACCAAGCGCUGCCGCGACACCCGUGGCUGACAUUGGGCGCUUAGGUGUGGUGGGCUGCUGUGCCAAGUCCCCUGUGUCCUCAGGAGGGGUCUGAGCGGCGGCACCGGGAACAGAGGGGCUUGAGGGGAGGGCUGUGGUGGGGAGAGCCGGGGGAAGGCAGCACGCCCUCCUCCCACGGCCCCCAGAGCCAGCCGGCCUCCCCAGCACCAGGGCAAGCGCUGGCACCCCUGACCGCAAACGGUCCUGAGGGCUCCCGGGCUGAGACUGAGCUGGGUGCAGACUGUGAGAACAAAAAUCAUUGUCUGGACAUCGCUGAGAAGAAAAUCAGCCCCUCCAGACCAGGAUCGGUCGCUCCAGGAUCCAUUUCUGAGCGGCAGUAGCCUGCCUCUCUCUGUCACCGACCUGGGCACGGCUCUGGUAAUCAUCAGGGCCGCCUUCCAGGAGCGCUGCCAAUGAGAGAAACAAAUACAUCGCGAGUCACUUUUUUGUGUUAAGAGCUGUGAGGGUGAAGACGGGGAUUAGUGGGAGCAGGCACAUCCAUCCGUUGGCGCUUGCCAUUUUCCAUCUCAAUUUUCUGGGCCACCCAGGAGGACCAUGAUGGUUCAAAGUGUAAAAGGCGUCCCGGCCUACGGCAACCGAAUGCUCCGACAGGCCGGCCAGGGCGUGCCGAGCCCCCACCUCGGACCCAGCCCCCCUGCCGAGCCCCGUCACCCCCAAGCGCCCAGGCUGGUGCCUUCACGUCAUCGGACCGACGCCUGGGGCACUGCCCGGCCCCUGCCAGCAUGGCUGCCCCGAACACACGUGCCGUGAGUGCUGGGCACGAGGCGGCUGCUCUGCCGGCACGGGUUGAUCCAGGGGGACCCGUGAAACAGCCGGGGCUGCCGCAGCUGUGAGCCGCGGUGCCGAGCUCCGUGCACCCCGUGCUGCCCAAUGCACCACCACCCCUUCGCUGAGCCUGCCGAGGUUUGCUGCAGCACUAACUCUUUUUGAACCUAAGAAAAACGCAGGCUGCUUUCAAAUUUGCACCGAACGGGGCCAGAGAAAGGCACGGUCUGAAGCUGGGGGGCCCGCAGGAAGCACAGCCUGGGGAGGAGUGCCGCCACAGCGACCUCGAACAAACCCUUGGCACGAAGCUGUCGCCGGAGCCAGGCAGGCCUGCGCCCCGGUGCACACGUGUGUCUGCCACGCGCCCCGGCGCCCGCUCCGCCGGCCAGAGGGCAAGCGGGUCACCAGCACCGGCCCUCGCCGCCUGAGCGUGGCCGUGGAAGGCGAGUCGAGGUUAACAGCGACACAGCUGCAAAACCAGCCAGCCGGGGACAAACCGCAGCGCCGGCCGAGGAGGAACCUCUCACACCUGAUGGGGCGAAGGGGAGCGGGCGGAGGGGACCGGCCACUGUUGGUCUUGGGAGCCGCACAAAGCGGAGAGAGGGUAUUUAACCCCCUGCAGAGUCCCUUAAAACCUCUUCUGAGCUCCAAAACCCAACAGCUGAAGAAACAGCGGGCUGUUUUCCUUACCUUUGCUGCAGAGUAUCGCUUUCAGCUGACUCUGGUAGAGCCGCAGUGACCGAAACAACAGGUUACUCCCGCUUGUCUGCGUUGGCAGCAGCCCGCACAGGAUGAGGGCAUUCGCCCAGCUGGUGCACCAGGAGCGGGGACUGGCGGGCGACGGGGAGGACCUGGCAGACAUCUGCGUGGGGACGGACCGGUACGCCACGUACCAGGCUGGUGCUCUCCAUCGGCGGAUCGAGGCCGGGUCUGUUGCGAUCACGGACACGACGGUGGACGACUCCUUCGAGCCACAGCUUGAGCAGGUGGUGCUGGAUGACGUGGUGGUGCGGAGCACCGAGCUGGACAAGGACCUCACAGAGGAACUACGCGCCUGCAGCACGGAGAUUCCUGGCUUUCCCACGCUCGUCAGCCGUACGACGUGCACCCGUGGCUUCUACAAAGGCAAAAUGAUCUUUGGCCGUCCUCCCUCCACCCAAGCAUAACGCCAAGUCUUUAUGUUCUUAUGUGGGCAAAACUACCCACGCUACCAAGGCCUAAGAAAGGCUGCAGGAUCAGACCCACCUGACGCGUUGGAGCUCGUUCAGCAGUCAGAGCAGGGGACGCCUUCAGAACACGCAGUACCGAUUUCAGCGUUUUGCCAGGGCGAGACCUCCUCUGCUAAUGGGUCUCUCGCGCGUCUGACGGUUAAAUUGUGUAACGUCACCUGCACGGCCAGCGCUGCUGUAGCUGGUGGCGGAUCCAGAGCGAAGAUCCACCCAACAGCGGUCGCUCCCUGGGACAACGCAGGUGCCCGGGGGACCUCUGCUGCCCCUGGUCCAGCCGUUACGCAGGAGCCACGCGCGGUCGCAGACUUUCCGGAAAGCAGGAGGCCGGUAGCUGCACCCUGGCACAGAAAACAGCCCCUUGUCCGCAAUCCUGUAGCGAGCCCAGCAGAUGGGUUGUGCCGAGUUGUUUCCUACAAGAAGAUUGUAACUUCAGAACUACCAAACACAAGAAAAGUGUCAGGAAGCGCGUGACAUUUAUGUAAACAAACUUUGGUUACUCUGGAACCGUUUCCUUUGCAAAAUUAAAUGCUGAUUGCAGCGUAGAUGAAAUGUAAUAAAUGAAGACUUAAUAAUCUGAGGACUAUUUAUAAACCUUUGGAUCUGCUUGCAAAUGCGACCAUCUGUGUAUUGCUCGAGGCCAUGUUUUAUUUAAACAAAAAGCCAUUUGAGAGGAUUAACAGUAGGAACAGCAAUAAAAUGAAGCACUCUGCCCAGGUUAGCACGCCGCAGGUAUACGUUUUGCUCGCACAAAGGACUUCACCUGCUGCGCGAGGGGAGUAGCUGCACCGGGCACGGGGCCGCUCUGUGGACCCCGGUGCAGCUGCAGGACAGCCAAAGGCACCAGCGGAGGUAGGGGAGAGGUGGGGACGCGUGCCCGCGCCGGGUCGCACUGAGCGCAGCGUCGGGUCCAGCCUGCGGCGAUGCCCCGGGGCUGCGGCAGGAGCGGAGGGAGCGCCAGCGCCCCGGGACCCAGCUCCCUGGCCAGCACCGCUGCCGCCCCAGCGCGGAACACCACUCGCACGCGGCUCCAGCUGCCUGCCAUCCGUGGCAGCUCCUUAGGUAAGAUUAAACCUAAAUUAAGGGGGGUUUUUCCCCAAUUUUCCCUUUCUGCACAGCUUGCUAUGCCCCUCUUCCACAGUAAUUUGGCAAUUUUUGGAUUUAACCUGGCAGACCUUCACAGCUGACGUACGCCGAGGAGCUGCGAUGACUGGCCCUGCAGACUGCGACACCCCCUGUACUUAACUCCCGUGGGCUUACUCUUCCUCUUUACAAACCUUACAAGUUGUGUAAUUUUCUCCUCUAUACACAGACACAGCGCACGGGCUUUAAACACUGCGGUUAACAGGAGUUCAGUAACUAUUCAAAGGAAAUAGCGGGGGCCCUGCGCAGCUGAGCGGGGUGGCCGGAUCCAGCGAACAUCGCCGUGCGGGAGCUGCGGACCACCAAUACAGCUUGAACUGCACCAACACACCUACGCACCCCAGGAGCGCUCCAGCCAAAACUCGCACAGAAAUUAAGUCUGUGUUACCAAACUGCAGGUUCUUCGCCCCCAUCUUGAGUCGCUGUAAAGGAUUGUCCUGUUCGGGUCGCCCCUGUCCGCAGCGAUCCUCUCGGAAGGCGAUGCCUUUGCAUUUGGUAUAAACUAAACGACACGCAAAAUGAAUCCGCAUUUGUGACCGCUAUUGUUAUUUGUUGCUGUUACAAAGGCCGUUCAGACUGUCAUCUGUACAAUAAUAUUUAAAGAUCUGUCAAAACCGGACGCGUGCCAGAGUGUUUGAACACGAGGUCGGUGUGCGGGAAGCACAAACUGUCCGGCUGAGCGGGGGCAGCUUCGCCCCCGUCGCGUGGUCGGCAGGUUUGGGCACGGGGAACCCCCGAGAGGGAAAGGGACGGGGCACACACGUUACUGAAACAACCUUGACCUGAUUUCAGGUAACUGCCAGGGACCGCAUCCUGCACGUUCACCCGCUGAUCGACUCCCAUCAACGAUCCAGAAAAUCCUCUCCACAAGCUGUAAGAGCCUGAACUGCGCCCGGGUCGAGGGGAGGGCGUUUUCGCGGAGGGUUACCGGCAGCCUGAAGAAUUUCCCACUGAAAUCACUUCCAGUUCUUACGGUUCAGUUACAGCUUGCCUCCAAAUGAAUUACACCACCUUUGGAACAGUAACUUACAGGAUUUAAGAGUUCUGGAAAACAAAAUUUUAACGUAUCCAAAACCUUGGGAGAGGAUCUUAAGAUAUUACUGACAUUAAGAGCACGAACAUGUAGGUCUAAAGAUACUUACAGGCACGCUGAGGGGCUGCCCCAGGGUACUCGUUCUCCAGUCCGUAUCCUAAAAUUGGCUUCAUCAGCAACCCCGGGGCCCUUCUCGUCCCAGAACUAUUUCCAAACGCCCGGUGCAGCUCGAUUUGCCUCCCAGACGUGCGGGUUUCUCUGGCGUCCCUCUUGUCACCCCACCACACCUCAUCACGCUGCCGCCUCCCUUCCGCAGAGUCGGCUGCUGGGGCGGGGGGCUGGCAGCGAGCGGGGCCGUCCGGGGUGCUCCCCCGGCGCCGGGACCCCGCUUCCACGGUCCCGCUCAGCUACACCAACAACUUGCCAGCGCUUUCAUCUGGGAUACAGUCAGUUUGCCACUGUGAAAAAGCAAACUCCACUUUUUUACAAGACAAGCAGAUUGGUUCCUAGUUUCCAUCCCGCGAUCGCAGUUCCUUGGCUCAGAGAUUAAUCUGCGGGGGAGGAAUCCCAGGACAGGAGCCAGCGUCCUCCCAGGACUGAAACAAAAUCCCUCCAGUCGCUCACCACGCAAUCCGACGUACCAUUCGGACUCAGUUCGGCUAAGUCCACGGUCUGCUCAAGAAACACAUGCACUAAUAGCGACGUACCUUAAGUCCUUUGUGAAAAUAAUUUAAAACCACUCCAGGAAAAGAAAUACGCUACUUGAACGUUUUGCCUCAUGUGAUGAGUGAGGUUUACUCUGCUUACAGAAACACAGUUCUGGUCAUUAACUUUGCAGGAGAUGGUGAACUCUCCAUUUUUUUACAACACUGUCCGGUGAAGAGAUUCUUGGUUUCCUUAUUUUGCUUUUAGCUUAAUGAUCAUGUUGUUAAAGGUUGUUCUUUUUUGUGUUGCAGAUUCUAACUGUGACACUCUAAGAGUCCGUAGUUUACAGAGCUCAGACUGCGUGUCCUUGGUGAGCUCCUUUUCAAAACACUAACCGUUACUGCAAAGCCCUCUCUGUGCUCCGAGGGGUAAGAGCUGGCGUUGCGAUCACUCACGUUUUUCUUUUUCUAUAAAUACGCGCACAAGCGUGCGUAUAAGCUUACGUGCACGUAAACUGGCUGUAUUGGGUCUGGCUGAGAUGGAGUUAAUUCUCCCCACAGCAGCCCUCAUGGUGCUGUGCUGUGUAUUGGUAGCUAGCAAACUGUUGAUAACACACCAGUGGUUUGGCUACUACUGAGUAGUGCCAGCACACAUCAAGGCUGUCUUUCCAACAUUUCUUUUUCCCCAGCAGCAGGCUGGGGGUGGGCAAGAUCUUGGGAGGGGACACAGCUGGGACAGCUGACCCAAACUGACCAAAGAGAUAUUCCAUACCAUAUGACGUCUGCUCAGCAAUAAGAAACUGAGAAUAGGGGGAGGAACAGGGUGGGGGCAUUCGUUGUUUUUUUUUUUUUUUACAAUGUUUGUCUUCCGGAGUAAGGGGUACGCAUACUGAAGCCCUACUUCCCAGGAAGUGGCCGGACAUCACCUGCUGAUGGGAAGUAGAGAAUAAUCUUUUGCUUUUUGCUUUGCUUCCACGCGCGGCUUUUUUUUGCUUUAGCUACAUUAAACUGCCUUUAUCUUGACCCAUGAGUUUGGGGUUGUUUUUUUUUCCAUCCUCCUUUCUCCCCUCCCUGCCUUACUGAAGAGGGGAGUGAUAGAGUGGCUCUGGUGGGCACCUGGCCCCCAGCCAGGCUCAACCCACCACAGUCUUUUUGGCGCCCAACGAGGGGCACGAGAAAACCGAGAUAAGGACAGUAAUUGGAAGAGGUAACGAGCAAAACAUUGACUGAACUUACCUUGAGAGUGAAAUAGUGGUGAAGGGACGAGAGGUGGAUUCUGUGUGUAUUGUCCACUCUUGUUUGGUGUUGUGAUAGUGUUGCUUUGAUUCUGGUGGGGGGAAUUUUUUUUCUUUUCCUUGUUGAUGUGAUUAGUGUGUGUAGUUUUUGUGUUGAAUGUAUAUUUUAAUAAUUCUUAAAUAUGUGAUUCACAGAGGUGAGGGGUGGAAGCCCUCUGGCACAAACGUUAAGUGGUUUGCAACAGCUGGAUACCACAACUGAUCUUGCACCAGUUGGAAACUUGACUUUCAGGCACUAUUUAACAUUUAAGCUGCUUUUCUGACUACCAAAAUUCACAGAUAAGUUUAAUUUUCAUGAAGAAGUUUGUCUCAGGCUUUAAAAAAUCAGAUUGUUAGUCAAACUGCAUACGCUUCAUACAUCAGCGUAAAGGAUAGCUGAAUUCUGAACCGUCACCCUUACGGAGUCAAAACCAACAAAGGGCUGCAGGAGAUGCCGGCUGAGAAGUCAACUUCCCAUUAACAUUUUCUAAAUUAAGAUUUUUACAUGCAAUUAAUUUCAUCCAUCUUUGUACAAAAGUAACUUGCAAAAUUUCAGUUUUUCUUAAAAAGCGUAGAAAGCAUUUAUCAUGAAAACAAAUGUCCUUAUAAGCAUCCCCAUUUCCCGGGGGGGUCUCGAUCAUCUCUCGUGGCCAGCGGUAAGGCGAGGCCGAAACGCCCGCUCCUCCCUGCAGAGGCCAGCGAGCGACCGAGGGGCUCUGCAGGAGCUCCCAGCAAGAGCCACCCGCACACGCGCGUCCCCGGGCGUGCGGAGCAAAAUACCUGAAGCCAGGUUCACUGACCUGCACGCUUUCCAUGCUCCACCGUCAGAUGGAAAUCCCUCUAAAAGUCCUCAUUCCGGCCUCGCCGAAUCGAUAAGGAGCCCCGAUUCACGGCUGCAGGGAGUUGGAGGUAAGCGGACUUCUACCCAGGCUAUUCCCCGAGAAACAACAGGCAUGAAGACGAUGGCAAGACACUGCCUAAAAAUCAACGCCCUUUAUUUCAAACCCAAAUAUCUGCUUCAUUUAAACUUUCUUUUUUCAUAAAUGUCUUGGUUUUUAUAAAAGAUGAUAACUAUAAUCUGAAAAGAUUUUGUGCCACUGAAAUGAUCUCGUAGAUCUGCUUUUAACAGCGAGAAGAGAAAAAAAAGACUGCCUGAAGUUUGGGAUCUUCCGUUUCUGGGAAGCAGCCUAGAAGCCAGCCUGGUCUCCGGAAGAGAAGAAAAUCAAUGCUGGUCUCCCCUGCAGGAACAUCCAACAGGUUGUGAAGCUGGCCAAGUGUGUUGUAAAAAUAACGAGUGACCUCAAAUGAGAUACCAAAAUAAAAUGCGCAAAUAUACACAGAAUUGUAAUUUUAGCACAAACAUGCAAAGGCUAAAUCCAGAAGACACACAGCUCCCACGCCUUUUGGGCAGUCUCUGUAGCAUUAUCCCCCCAAUAAAAUAACUUCAACACUCA